rnacentral:rRNA from 1 species
AUACGGAGGGUGCAAGCGUUACUCGGAAUCACUGGGCGUAAAGCGCGCGCAGGCGGGCUGAUAAGUUGGAUGUGAAAGCCUACGGCUCAACCGUAGAACUGCAUCCAAAACUGUCAGUCUAGAGUCUGGGAGGGGAAGAUGGAAUUAGUUGUGUAGGGGUAAAAUCCGUAGAGAUAACUAGGAAUACCAAAAGCGAAGGCGAUCUUCUGGAACAGUACUGACGCUGAGGCGCGAAAGCGUGGGGAGCAAACAGGAGUAGAAACCCGGGUAGUCC